UACGUAGGGUGCAAGCGUUAAUCGGAAUUACUGGGCGUAAAGCGUGCGCAGGCGGUUGUGUAGGACAGAUGUGAAAUCCCCGGGCUCAACCUGGGAACUGCAUUUGUGACUGCACGGCUGGAGUGCGGCAGAGGGGGAUGGAAUUCCGCGUGUAGCAGUGAAAUGCGUAGAUAUGCGGAGGAACACCGAUGGCGAAGGCAAUCCCCUGGGCCUGCACUGACGCUCAUGCACGAAAGCGUGGGGAGCAAACAGG
rnacentral:rRNA from 1 species